rnacentral:rRNA from 1 species
GCUGACUGCGUGCGAGAAGCGUGGGUAGUGCGAAGGGGGUGAGGGUUGUUCGGAAUGACUGGGCGGAAAGGGCGCGUAGUCCGUGCUGUAAGGCAGGCGUGAAAUCCCCGGGCUCAACCUGGGAAUUGCACUUGAUACUGCAGCGCUGGAAUGCGGGAGAGGAUGGCGGAAUUCCCAGUGUAGAGGUGAAAUUCGUAGAUAUUGGGAAGAACACCGGUGGCGAAGGCGGCCAUCUGGCCCGUAAUUGACGCUGAGGCGCGAAAGCGUGGGGAGCAAACAGGAUUAGAUACCCCAGUAGUC